rnacentral:rRNA from 2 species
AGUGGCGGACGGGUGAGUAACACGUAGGUAACCUGCCCAGAAGCGGGGGACAACAUUUGGAAACAGAUGCUAAUACCGCAUAACAUCGUUGUUCGCAUGAUCAACGCUUAAAAGAUGGCUUCUCGCUAUCACUUCUGGAUGGACCUGCUGUGCAUUAGCUUGUUGGUAGGGUAACGGCCUACCAAGGCGAUGAUGCAUAGCCGAGUUGAGAGACUGUUCGGCCCCAAUGGGACUGAGACACGGCCCAUAUUCUUACGGGAGGCACCAGUAGGGAAUCUUCCACAAUGGGCGCAAUCCUGAUGGAGCAACACCGCGUGAGUGAAGAAGGGUUUCGGUUCGUAAAGUUCUGUUGUUAAAGAAGAACACGUAUGAGAGUAUCUGUUCAUACGUUGACGGUAUUUAACCAGAAAGUCACGGCUAACUACGUGCCAGCAGCCGCGGUAAUACGUAGGUGGCAAGCGUUAUCCGGAUUUAUUGGGCGUAAAGAGAGUGCAGGCGGUUUUUUAAGUCUGAUGUGAAAGCCUUCGGCUUAACCGGAGAAGUGCAUCGGAAACUGGAUAACUUGAGUGCAGAAGAGGGUAGUGGAACUCCAUGUGUAGCGGUGGAAUGCGUAGAUAUAUGGAAGAACACCAGUGGCGAAGGCGGCUACCUGGUCUGCAACUGACGCUGAGACUCGAAAGCAUGGGUAGCGAACAGGAUUAGAUACCCUGGUAGUCCAUGCCGUAAACGAUGAGUGCUAGGUGUUGGAGGGUUUCCGCCCUUCAGUGCCGGAGCUAACGCAUUAAGCACUCCGCCUGGGGAGUACGACCGCAAGGUUGAAACUCAAAGGAAUUGACGGGGGCCCGCACAAGCGGUGGAGCAUGUGGUUUAAUUCGAAGCUACGCGAAGAACCUUACCAGGUCUUGACAUCUUGCGCCAACCCUAGAGAUAGGGCGUUUCCUUCGGGAACGCAAUGACAGGUGGUGCAUGGUCGUCGUCAGCUCGUGUCGUGAGAUGUUGGGUUAAGUCCCGCAACGAGCGCAACCCUUGUUACUAGUUGCCAUCAUUAAGUUGGGCACUCUAGUGAGACUGCCGGUGACAAACCGGAGGAAGGUGGGGACGACGUCAGAUCAUCAUGCCCCUUAUGACCUGGGCUACACACGUGCUACAAUGGACGGUACAACGAGUCGCAAAAUCGCGAGGGCAAGCUAAUCUCUUAAAACCGUUCUCAGUUCGGACUGCAGGCUGCAACUCGCCUGCACGAAGUCGGAAUCGCUAGUAAUCGCGGAUCAGCAUGCCGCGGUGAAUACGUUCCCGGGCCUUGUACACACCGCCCGUCACACCAUGAGAGUUUGUAACACCCAAAGUCGGUGGGGUAACCUUUUAGGAGCCAGCCGCCUAAGGUGGGACAGAUGAUUAGGGUGAAGUCUAAG